rnacentral:rRNA from 1 species
ACGAACGCUGGCGGCAUGCCUAACACAUGCAAGUCGAACGAGACCUUCGGGUCUAGUGGCGCACGGGUGCGUAACGCGUGGGAACCCGCCCUUAGGUUCGGAAUAACUCCCCGAAAGGGGUGCUAAUACCGGAUAAUGUCUUCGGACCAAAGAUUUAUCGCCUUUGGAUGGGCCCGCGUUGGAUUAGCUAGUUGGUAGGGUAAAAGCCUACCAAGGCGACGAUCCAUAGCUGGUCUGAGAGGAUGAUCAGCCACACUGGGACUGAGACACGGCCCAGACUCCUACGGGAGGCAGCAGUGGGGAAUAUUGGACAAUGGGCGAAAGCCUGAUCCAGCAAUGCCGCGUGAGUGAUGAAGGCCUUAGGGUUGUAAAGCUCUUUUACCCGGGAUGAUAAUGACAGUACCGGGAGAAUAAGCUCCGGCUAACUCCGUG